CAGUCGCCGCGGUAAUACGUAGGUCCCGAGCGUUGUCCGGAUUUAUAGGGCGUAAAGCGAGCGCAGGCGGUUAGAUAAGUCUGAAGUUAAAGGCUGUGGCUUAACCAUAGUACGCUUUGGAAACUGUUUAACUUGAGUGCAAGAGGGGAGAGUGGAAUUCCAUGUGUAGCGGUGAAAUGCGUAGAUAUAUGGAGGAACACCGGUGGCGAAAGCGGCUCUCUGGCUUGUAACUGACGCUGAGGCUCGAAAGCGUGGGGAGCAAACAGGAUUAGAUACCCCCGUAGUCCCUGUCUCUUAUACA
rnacentral:rRNA from 1 species